GAUGAACGCUAGCGGCAGGCUUAAUACAUGCAAGUCGUGGGGCAGCAGGGUUGUAGCAAUACAAUCGCUGGCGACCGGCAAACGGGUGCGUAACACGUACGCAACCUUCCCGUUACUGUGGCAUAGCCCAGGGAAACUUGGAUUAAUACCACAUAUUAUAUAGAGGGGGCAUCUCCUUUAUAUCAAAGCUUCGGCGGUAACGGAUGGGCGUGCGGUUGAUUAGGUAGUUGGCGGGGUAACGGCCCACCAAGCCUACGAUCAAUAGCUGAUGUGAGAGCAUGAUCAGCCACACGGGCACUGAGACACGGGCCCGACUCCUACGGGAGGCAGCAGUAAGGAUUAUUGGGCAAUGGACGAAAGUCUGACCCAGCCAUGCCGCGUGAAGGAUUAAGGUCCUCUGGAUUGUAAACUUCUUUUCUCUGGGGCGAAAAACAGCUAUUCUUAGUUGCUUGACAGUACCAGAGGAAUAAGCACCGGCUAACUCCGUGCCAGCAGCCGCCGUAAGAC
rnacentral:rRNA from 1 species